CCAAAAGUAGUAAAAGAAGCUUGUACCAGACCCUCCAAGAAGUUUUUCAUAUCUGUGUCAAUAUUCCCUUUUGAUGAAGCAGCUAGCUGGCACAAGACAUUCUUCUUCCUUGACUCUGCUCCUCGGUCCGCAUGCUUUCUCUUGUUUCUUCCCGAAACAUCAGCUGUACCAUCAACAUUCUCUGCAACAUGACUAUUCUCACCCCUCUCAGUAUCAGCUGCUUGAUCCUCUCUUUUUU
rnacentral:lncRNA from 1 species